ensembl:ncRNA T19E7.22 ncRNA
AUUCUCAAGUACGUAUAGUUACCGAUGAAACAGGUGACUGGUACCACUUCGAAUUAGCUAUAAAACUG